GCUAUCUCCCCAAAGCCCUGCUGUUGAUCUAGGAAUGUGCUACAGGCCCAGCCGUGGCCUUUGGCUGGCCACUCUGUGAUUUGAGUACAACGGUCAGAUUUCCACCAGCUGCUCCAAACUGCCUGCUUCAGAAAGAUGUCCCUGGCACCCACUGCUCAGCGUUCAUCUGUAGCCCGUGCUCACCAGGGGCAUGCGCAGUGCCUCCCAAGGAAAGGGUAGGCAGGGACAGACUGGAGGACGAUUAUUGGAAGUAGGUGAGCCCCAGUCUAGGGCUCCUGCCCUCGGGGUAUUUUCAGGACAGGGCAGGAGUCCACUGGGGAGUCCAGUCCCCUAGCCAAGGCUGAGGACUAUCCUGGCUGUGGCUCAAUCUGAGCCACCCAGGGGGAGGGUUCUCUUGCUGAGUCCACCUGUGGAGCAAAGGCACAAGGUAAGUGGGACCAGAGAAGCCAGCUGGAGGAGGUUGGAAUGGGAGCGUAGCACUUAUUGAGCACCUAUGGUGUGCAGCAGGCAAUGCCGGCUGAGUCUGCUCUCUCUGUGUUGCUCAUUAUUUGAGGAAGAGAUGGAGUGACUGGGCCUGUGUUGGGGCCACAGGGGAACCUUGAAGAGGUGGAGGGUGGAGAUCUGACUCCUGCUGGAGCCAGGAAGCCUUCACAGAGGAGUCGGAGUUGAUGCUUGACAGUUGAAAACGAGGAGGGCAUUUUCAGGAGGAGGGAACAGCAUUUGUGAAGGUCAGAGGUCAGGAGGAAUGGCCAUGUUGGGCAUGUGAAGAGUCUGGGUUUUUCAUGGUAGGAAUUUAUAGGUGAGGAGGCUGAGUAAUAGGAAGCUCUAUAAGGCUUCCCAGGACACAGGUGCUUCCGUGUGAAAAUCAGGAAAGUCCUAGGAAAAUUGGGGUGAGUUUUUCACUGUCCUGGGUAAUCUAACUUGGGUUCAGAUAGAAACAGGCUUUGAACAUACUGAUAAGAUGUCUGGAACCAUGGUAAGUUAUAAAAGUUUAUUUUUUGUGUGUGGGAGGGGGUAAAGGGAAGAGGAAGAAGUAGGCAUGUGCUAUAAACCAAGCCCACUUUAUUUCUACCCAAUGGAAAUAAUUAUCUCCAGUUUGCAAAUGAGAAAAGUGAGUAUCAGAGACAGUAAGGUACUUGUUCCAUGUAACACAGCAAAUAAGUGGUAGAGGUGGGUUUCUGGGGUAGGUGUGCUUGGUUCCAAAGCUAAUGCUCUGAACCACGGAGUCACCUGUGUCAGGACGAAGCUCUAGAAGGACAAGGGGUGGGUAUUGUACCCCACAAUAGAAGUUGCCUGGGAUUUCUCUGAGUUGAGGCCUCAGAGGCUCUGGAAAGAUGGCCAGUACUAUGUGACCCUUGGUUACCCUGUCUGUGUCAAUAGACGGCCAGCAAGCAGCCCCAGGGCUGGCUGGGUCUCCCUACCUCUGUGUCCCCAUUGUCCACCCCAGGGUCUGAUUAGGAUAGGUCUCAGUGAGUAAUAUGGAGUGGAGCAGGGACCUGGCCUGGCCCCACGGUGACUGACAGGAGCCUGAAGGGGCUACCCAGUAGCCACUCCCAGUGGGGAAAGAGCAUUGCCUGCAGACCGCAGGAUGGGGCAGUCCCUGGAGCACACGGAGGCGCCCCCUCACUGAGCAGGCAGCAAACACACGCUCGGCUCAACCCUUAGCAGAGAAGGCCCAGGCUCACCCAUGACCAGCCCAGGCUGCUUGGCAACGUGGCAUUUGCAUAUGCCCAACAGAGACAGGCACAGAGUGUUAAUGGGCUGAUGGAGGAGCCCUGACCUAGAACUAGACACGGGUGAGUGGGGAGAAGCAGGCGGUAGGAGGGAGGCCAGCAGGAAAGAGGAGCCAGGGUGUGGGGGCCUGGCAGCAGGUGUGGCAGGCAGCAAGUAUGUCAGGCAGAGGGCCUGAGUGUCGGGACAGGUGGCUGGAGCCAAAUGACAGGAGUCUGGCUACAGGCAGCCAGUCUUGUGUGCCUGAUCUGCGGCAAGGCUGCACCUGCAGAUGGUGGUCAGGGGGCUGCUGCACAGGGCAGGAAGCCAGGCACACUAAUGUUCGGGGCAUAUUAGAAGGUGGGAUAUGCACGCCUCCUGAACUUGGGCACAUGCCUGGCUUCUAGGCCAUCCUGUGCCCAGCAGGCCCUUGGCACUUGGGGUCAGCCCUCUGAGGAGGGCAUCUCAAGGUCAGAACAGCAGCAGAGCCUUCUCCUCUGCAAGAGAAGCUGCCCUGACAGCCCCAUUGGCCCCAGGAAGAGAAAUGCCAGGGCCAGUGGUUGAGUUUAGUCAGACUGUUGGUGGACACAAUGAAAGAGGUGUCCCAACCUUUGGUAGAAAGCCCACGCAGUACAGUCUCCAGAGAAAUGACCCCUCUGUCCCUUAGAAGGUCCACGUUUUGGUAAGGAUCAAGGAAAGGCCCACAGUGGGUGCCACAUGGCCAGGACUCCCACAGGCCUCUGUGCAGCAGUGGGGUCCAGAGGGACCCGUUCUGGCCAGGAACAUUUUCCUGGGCUCAAGGCUUAGGUGGGGGCUCCUUUGCAUCUCCCUGGGAGAAGAGGGAGAGAGAGGCAUUGCUUAAUGGGUACAAAGUUCCUUCUGGUGGUGAUGAAAACAUUGUAGAAAUAGUGCUGAUGGUUACACAACAUUAUGAGUGCAAUUGAUGCCACCAAACUGUGUGCUUAACUAUGGUUAAAAUAGCAAAUUUUAUGCUACAUAGCCAUAUAUUUUACCACACUGGAGGAAAAAAAUUGUCAGGGUCAUGAGAAAGAGGGAAAGACUGAGAAAAUGUUCAGUCUCUUUCCGAAAGAAAGAGAUUAAGGCGAUGUGACAACCAAGUGAAACAUGGUGGCUGGGAUUGGAGCCUGCACCAGAAAAAUGACCAUUUAAUGUCCAUGAAGGAAAAACUGGUGACAUCCAAAUAAAGUCUGCAGUCGGGUUAAUAGUAUUGUUCCAAUGUUAAUUUCGUCUCUUUGACAAAUGUACCGUGGUUAUGUAAGAUGUUCACAUUAGCAGAAGGUGGGUGCAGGAUGCAUGGGAACUCUCUGUAUUCUUUGCAACUUUUGUGCAAAUCUAAAACAAAAAGGCGCCGGGACUGCCAAGGAGAGAUGUGGGGCGGCCUUGGCACCUGGGGCCCUGGCUCGGCCCAGAAAGGCUGGGUGGCCUGGAGUUGGCUCUCAGCUGGCAGGAGGGAUCUAGCCCCAGCUCCUCUGAGAUGACCCCUGCUGAAAAACAGGGGCAGGUGAGAGGUGGGGUUUCCCAGCGUGGGGUAGGGCUGGUGAGCCAGGCCUGGCUCUGGCAGCAGGUGCCCUGGGAGCUCUUUCCUGGUUCUCCUUGCUCUCCUCAGUUCAGCAGAAUCUGCUCACCAAAGGAGGGCUCUUUGCCUCUCUGGGUCCUGGGGAAUCUCAGGGGUGCUGAGGGCUUGGGAAGGCUCAUCGGGCAUUAAGGGUUGGGGUCUGGCUGCAUCCUGUCCAUCCACAUGCAGAAUUCAGGGGGCUGACAGCCCUUCCCUGGUGCUGCCCUGGCCAUCUGGGAAAAGGAAGGGUGGAACCGAGGUGGCCACUGCCAGGGGGCUGGGACUAGCUGGAACGAGAAAUAAUCAGGACCCUGAAUCUCCCUCAUCCUAGGCCCCCUCCCCUUUCUACACAUCUUGUGUUCCAUUUUUAUCUUGGCUCCACCCAUGGCUUCUCUGCUGCCCUCAGGAAUAUGGGGAAGUCAGUGUCUAAGGUGAGCUUUCCCAGCCCAAAGCAGUCAUGUGGCCAACAUUGGCCUCAGCAACAAGGACAGGCUGCAGGAGAGGCCCCCAGAGUGGUUAGGUCAGGGAGGAGAAAACAGGAAGUGACUAUUUAGUGAGCACUUACUGAAUGGCAGUCUCCUUGAAUCUCCAAAUCAACUGCAAGAUAAGUCGGUGUAUCCACCCUACAGACCAGGAGAUGAAGGCCGAGAGCAGUGUGGGAUGAACCACCUACCUGCGUCAGGAAACUCAGGUGUCUUUGAACUCCAGAUUCUGAUUCUUUCCUCUGGGCUGGGGUGAGUGAGGGGUGGGGUGAAUCUAACUUCCCAGGCUGGGGUCAAUGUCCAGGCGGAGGGACAUUCAGAGCUUCUAGGAGCACUGAUGACAGGACAGGAGGCACACUUGGCAAUGUCAUUCUCUGGAAGGGGGCAGAGUGUGCCUUUUUUGAGGCCAAAGGUUUUAGAGAUAGAUGCUGGGCUUGGCCCAGGAGGAGGUGACCUAGUAAGUCAUGCGUGGACCUGGGUGACAGAGCCUCUGAGGUGCUGGUGGAGCCUCUGCAGGGAGGAGAGGUCCUUUCCCAGCUGCCACAUUCUGUAUGUGGGUCUCUUGGUCAGUUUUGUUCUUGGAGAGGACACACACUUCCUGGAGGAGGUCUGGAGCUGGACGUUCCUCCCUGUCCCUCUCUGUACCUGUCCAUCCUUCCAGACCUUGCUCUUACACACCCUUGCCAACUUCAACCUGUGCAUGUCCCCAGCCUCCCCUUCCCCAUUGCUCCCUCUGGGGGACCUUCUUCACCUUUAGGUAGCUCCCCAGUUACAGCCCUGAGUGCUGGUUUCCUUGGUCAAGUUUCGGUGGCUGCUUUACCAGCACCUCAAGCCCUCAGACAGCCCAGGAGGUCUCUCUCUUCCCUUUUUCAAGAUAGCAUAUGUAGGGCUGGGGUUGUGGCUCAGAGGUAGAGCGCUCGCCUAACAUGCGUGAGCCACUGGGUUCCAUCCUCAGCACCACAUUUAAAAAAUAAUAAUAAAUAAAUAAAUGAAAAAAAAAGGCAUAUGUGAACUUUAGGCUCAGUAUAUAUUGGAGCAGGGCUGGGGCCAUGCUUCUUUGGAAAUCCUGAAUAGAGACAAAGGAGUCACAUGUAGAAAGAUUGGGCUGGAGCCCAGGUAUCUCCCCAAUGAGCUGUGUCUGUGUUAGGCAGGUCUUGCACAGAGUUCAAGCCAAGGCCCAGACCCAUUGUGCUGCUCCUCUGGGUACGGCCUUUGCUCUGAAUUCUACUCCCCCAGGAGAGAGGAGAGUGGGCCUAGAACAUUCUGUUCCUGUAGGCUGUGGAUUUUGGCUAUGAUUGUGCAAAAGAUGAUUGGUGUGUUACUAGUAAAUGCACAGUGAUCUAGAAAGCAAUAACCACUCCACCAAUCUUCUUAGAAGUCUCAGAGAGCUGUGGGCUUGCUUUCCUUUAGAGGUAAGUCUCUAGCAGGACACAAAGCAUGUCCGCUGGAGGCAUCCCCUGAGAUCUGUGGGCCAAGAAAAGUUUGCAGGGGCCUGAGGAAGCAGGCCGGGCUUUGCCUCAUGGGAUCUAUAGCUGACACAGAGCACUUUGGUGCCACCAGCUUCCCUUGCUCCAGAGUGUCUGAUGGAUAAGCACUGCUGUGUCACAAGGUCACUCUCAUGUUAACUGAGUUUAUCCUGCAUUACCCCUGCUGGGGUCUGCCUACAUCCCUAAAUCUUAAUUCCUAGUCUUCGGCCUCAAGGAAGGCAUGAGCCAAGCACUGCUGUUGCUUUUGUUCAACAAGUGCUUGGAGUAAGGGGUCACCAGCAACUGAAAGAUUCAAUAUUCAUACACUGGGGAGCUCAAAGCAGCAAAGUCAGGUGUGAAAUAACUACAGCCACAGUAUGAUAAGGGCCUGAGAGGAUGCAAGAAAGGGCUGCAUCGUGGGGAAAGAGAGGCUUGGAGUGCUCCACAGAGGAAGGGGCAUUUGACACUUAAGGACAGAGAAUACUGCCAACCUUGGGAUUCACAUUUUUAUGUUUUGUAUUGAAAGAGGAAGAGCUGAGGACAUAGUUCAAUUGCAUAGAGCUUGCCUAGCAUGUGUGAGGCCCUGAGCUCUCCAUCCCCAGCACUGAAGAGAAAGGAGAAAGAAAGAAAGAAAGGAAGGAAGGCUGGGGAUGUGGCUCAAGCGGUAGCGCGCUCGCCUGGCAUGCGUGCGGCCCGGGUUCGAUCCUCAGCACCACAUACAAACAAAGAUGUUGUGUCCGCUGAUAACUAAAAAAAAAUAAUAAAUUAAAAAAAAAAGAAAGAAAGACCGGCCAGGUGCAGUGGAAUACACCUGUAAUCCCAAUGACUCGGGAGGCUGAGACAGGAGGAUCGAGAGUUCCAGGGCAGCCUCAGCAACUUAGAAAGAUUCUGUCUCAAAAUAGACCCUAUCCCUGAAAAUAAAAUUAAAAGGGCUGGGGAUGAGGCCAGUGCUAGAGCACUUGCUAAGCACAUGCUGGCCUUGGGUUUAAUCCCCAGGACUGUGCAAACACGCCCACACAACCUCUCCCCUGCAAAAAAAAAAAGGUGAGGUGCCAGGCUGAAUGACAGCUCUGGCAGAAGGAGGGUGCAGAGGUAGAGUAACCCAGCGCUAGGUCAAGAAGGACCUGAUUCCUCAGAAGGCGAGGAAGAUUGAGGCCAUCAUGAAAAGGCCAGUCCAGUGUGGAAACCUGGGGGUGCUCAGGUCAUGCUCACUGGGUCUGAGCCUGGUCACCCCAGUGCACAGUCUAGAGCCACUGUCACUUUCCAGGAAUUGCAAAGGCAUCCAAUGCCUUCUGCACUGCAUGAGCUCAAAAGCAUACCCUGAAAGAGACGGGUAUGGUGCCCCUCUGCUUAGGCAGCCACCAGACCAGUCAGUAGAGGCAACUGUCAGCCAGACCUAGAGAGCUCCUGGUGCAAAACUCUGCCAUAGCAGAAAAGGAACUGUGGUCGCACCAGGGUCACACAGCUCAGAGCAGGCUUGGUGCCCCUGACAUCUGCUCUGAUCUUCUUCCUGUUGAAAGAUUCCUCCCUGGCCUUGCUGAAAGCAAACUGGAGCCAUAUGCACAUCAGAGGGGAAAAUUUACAUUCAUUACAUGGAUGUCUGUUUACACUUCUCUUCUUGGAGCUAUGUGCUCAAUCAAGGCCCCCUGCCCUGUCCAAAGGAGGCAUCAAAGUGUCCCAGGGUGCUGACUCCUGCAUGUGCAGCAUUAGAGGAUGCAGCAGCUGUGUGUUGUCCCUGAGCAGCGAGCCGAGGCUUUGCUUCAAUCCACUAGUAGCUUCUGAAGCACAAGAAAGAACAGACAAGUACUUGAGUUAAACACUGCAUGGGCCAUGCAGGCCUUUGUCCUGACAUGCCCAGUUACAAAUGAACAGCUCGGUUGAUAGACCCUGAGAGCUACCUGAAAACAGAACCAAGGGAAGAGGAUUCUGACAGGGAAAGUCUGACUUUCCUCAGGCCGACAGUGCUGUGGCCAGGGCUGGGCUCCACCAUACACGCAUUAGGAGUUUGAGUAGGAGAUCUCACAAUGGCCGUUCUGUGGUAGGGCUGGGGAGAGACUGGCUGGUUUGACUCCCUGCCGUGAGUGAGGUCACUGAGCCUGGGGAGGGACCACGCUUGAUGUGUUUCCCCAGGGAGGCACUGGCUGCACUGUCUCCCAGGCAAAGCUCCUUCCUCCUAGUACACAGUGAGGCCGCCUCUGAAUUUGAGGGGGGGAAGAUGGAGAGCUGUGGGUGCCCAGCCCAAGAGAUGUGUCAGGGGAGGGGAGCCAGGGACCCCAGCAAAGAGGAGCUUAGAACCCUUCCAGCUGUGACUAAGGAAGUAGCAGGGUGAGAGAGGCUCAGGUGUAGCUGGAAAUGAGCAGCAUGAGGGAUCCUUGGGACACCCCUGUUCUGUAUCUUGCUUGUAGCAACACUAGUCUCUCUAUAUCCUGUUUGCUCUAUUGGACUAGAGCAUUGCAAGGUGUUCUCUCUGGGGGAAAUGGGGUCAAGAUUACUUGACAUCUCUCUUAUAACUACAUGUGAAUCAAAAAUUAUUUCAAGAUCAAAAGUUUAAGAGCAAAAAUUUUUAGUGGACACAUUGGUACAUGCCAGUAAUUCCAGCUACUCAGGAGGCUGAGGCAGGAGGAUUACAGAUCAAGGCCAGCCUGAGCAACUUAGAUCCAGUCUCUGAAUAAAAAGUAUAAAAAGGGCUAGGGAUGUAACUCAGUGGAAGAGCACUUGCCUAGCAUGUGCAAGGCCCUGGGUUCAAUCCCCAGUAGUGCAAAAAAAAGGGGGAGGGAUUAAAAAGGGUAAACCUCUGAGCUGGGGUCUGAGGAGAAGAGAGGACAGCCAGGAAGUAGACACUUGAGGCAAGUGGAAAUGGCCCAUGCCCUUAUCACCCAGCUGCAACAUGCCCAUCCAGGGAAGGCGGGCCACAGGCUGGCGCCAAGAGAUCUGUGAGCACAGUGACUUCUGGGCCCGAUAGAAGGGGGCAUCCAUCAGCAGGGAACAAAGACAGAGAGAGGGAGUCUGUGGGAGGAAAGGUGAGGAAGCCACCAAAGGCCCUCAGUGACUGGUGAGUGGACAGCGAGGGCCAUCGGAGGGGAUGUCGUCUAUGUAUGGCCCAUGUAUGGGGAAAAGUGCUGUCAUUGUAGUCAGAAUGGCAGUUUUCAGUCGUGCUGGACAAGUGAUCCCCGGGACAUCUCUGAGCCAACAGCUAGCCACGGGCUCAGAGGCGUAUGCAGGGUGUUUAAUACAGGCUGGGGUGCUUGCAGCUGGGCCAGAAAUGGACCACAUUCCCAGUUGUCUUCACUUCAAACCCACUGAGUGCCCACAGUGUAGCUGGCCCCUGGGAGACACCUGGAGACACAGUGCAUGCAAGGACACUGACACUGCCAUCUUUCCUGGGUGGGCAGAUGGCAGGUGACACAGAGAGCAGAAAGAUGACUUUGGCAGUAAUGAGAGCAAAUCUGGCAGUGGACAUCCAGGGAUGGGAGCUCUGUGUAGGAGCACAAGCUCCGCAAUUUGCGUGCAAAUAUUUAUAAGUGUCCCAGACAGAGCUCAGUGGCUGAGCUUCCUUCUCUCCAACUCAGUUUUGCCAAAUCUCCUCAUUUCCUGAGACGCACUCCUACAUGGCAAACCUCAGCUCCGAUCCUCAUCAAUCCCCAGUGUCUCUCUAAACUCAGAGCAUCUCCCUGUGCAGAAGUGACAGGCACAUGAAUUAGACUCAGUCCACCCCUUGAAGGCCUAGUCGGGCAGAGGGUGGGUGGGCAGCCCUCCCAGAUGGCAUCUUUGCUUUGGGGAUGUCAGGGGCACAGACACGUUCAAGCCUGGGCAGGGAGGGUGCUUGCCUCUGACUCCCCAGCCUGCAGGCAGAUCCCUUUUGUCCAUGGGGCAGGGGGAUUGAAAGAGUUGAUGGUCCUUUCCCCAGAGCCGACCCAACAUGCUGAAGCCAGGUCUACAAGGUCACCAGCAGCCCUGCUGGGGCUUGUGUUGGGCUGGAUGCCCAGGCAGGGAUUGGGGAGGCUGAUAGGAGGUGGAGGUCGAGCCUGCCCCAUGUAGCUCCAGGCUGAGCUGGUGAAAUGGGACCUCAUCUCACAAAGCUGGGAAUGCUGGGUGGAGCCCAGUCCCCUCCAGGGAAGGCUACUGGGAAUGCCAACUUGCAAAAUGUCUUUUAGAAGAAACAGAUUUGACUCAAACUUCAGAGUCUGGGGACUUAGGCACAACAGGCAAUGUGACAGCAGAGGAAGGAAGGCAUGGGCGUGGAGGCUGAGGCAGGCACUUGGUGUGGUCUCCAAUCUGGAGAGUCCCACUUAACUACAUGGCCUGAGCAUCUCCCCUUUUGCCUUGCCACUAAGGGGGUAUCAUUUUCUCUAAUUCACAGAUAAUGGAAGCAAGGCCAGAGAGGAUAAUCACCCACCAAGAGCUCAGAGUCAGUAACCAGAAUAUAUCAGAAUCUCAGCUCAUGUGAUCCCUGGGUCAAAGGACAAAGCUCCCUGGAGAAGACACAGAAACUAGCUGGGAUGAAGGCCGAAACUGACUGGGAAGCCUCUGAGAUCCCAGCAGACAGUUCCCAUGGUGAUGCUGGCUAAAUGCCCCAUACUUCUCACGUAUGGGGGAAGGCCUGCUCCUCCUGGGGCUCUUCCUUUUGCUAUGGACUUCGGCUUUGCUUCUGGAGGACCUGAGGGAGCAGCUGGUGCUGGGCAGAAACACAGCCCUAGGGUUUCACUUGGCUCCAGCGUGUCUUAACUGGGUGGCCUUGAGAAGAUCUCUUAAGCCCUCUGAUCCUCAGUUUCUUCAUUUUCUUCAUUGUAGCAAGAUCUAAUAAUACACUGCCAGUUGCUGCAAGGAUUAGUGGCAUACUGUAUGCAAAAUGCUGGACAUAUGAUCGUGCACAGUAAUGAGGAGCUAUUAAUAUUAUGGCAGCUGCCGGCUGCAGCCUCCUGCUCCUCAGUGGUCCUCGGCUUCAGUCACCCCAUUACCUCCAAGGGGGUUGCACCCACCUUGCUAGUACUGUGGGAUGGAGGCUAAUCUCCCAGGGAUUCAUUGACAGAUACCUAUGGUCCAAGAGAUGCCCUAGACAUAAGGAAAUGGAGUGGCUUCCCCGGUCCUGCAUCCUACGCACGUUAUGUAGCAUCUGAGAAGAGCUGUCGAGGUAGCAGCUGGUCCCGCAGCGCUGCCUCUCACAGGAGCGAUUAGCUGUGUCAUGCAUCCACUUGUAAUGAAAUAGAAACGUUUUGAUUUCUCUGGGAAGCCGGAUUUUCUCCCAAAUCCUUGCUGCUUUCAUCCAUGGACAUGAAACAGCCCAUUCUAAUCUCAUACCAGGAGCAGCAGUUAUAAGGAGCCCAUGAAAUCUGAUCAACCUCUCGGCUCCUGGGCGGCAGCUUUGAUUGCUGGGAGGGAGCAAGUCGUCCUGGGCCUGGUGCUAAUAGCUCCAUGCAUUAUUGAAGAGCCGUCUUUUCAGGGGCAGACACACCCCAGGAAGACAUCCGGACUGCAGACUGCGUGUCAGCCGCUUCCCUUGCUCCUUGCGAUGGAGAUUUGGGAUCUGGCAGAGCCACAAAAAAAGAGGCACUUGACAGAAAUGUUUGUGCAGCUUCCGCGUCCUCAUUGGAAGGCAGCUGAUGUGGAACAAGCAAAUAAGGUGAAACCAGCACUUUCCAAUUCUCCCAGUUGCCCUCCUCCAGAACAAACAUCUGAGGAAUGAGCAGCUGCCUGGGAGCUUCUGCAGGAGAGGGUGCGUGCCCAGGGCAGGAUGCUCACCUCAGCCAGGGCUGGGGCCUGACAGUAUCUUCCUAACCCUAGGAUACCCAGGUUUUAGAGCCAAGAGGGGCAAAUCAAGAGCUGGGCUUAACAUCCCUGAGAAUUUGCUGGAAAUGCAAAGAGGGCAGGUUUACUUUGUGAAUCCCCACUUACUGUUUGAACUAGAUGAACUAAUUAGACCCCCCCCCUUUUUUUCCAUUCAGAAAUUGGUAUUUGAGUGUCUACAAUGUGGCAGGCACUGAUUAAAACACCGAAUGCCUGACAGUGAGUGCAAACAGUUGGGAAUUCCAGUCGUCAAGAUGGCCCCACUAAUCUCUGCCUUCUUGCAUCCAUGUACUUUAUGCAGCCCCCUCCCCUGCUGAAGAGGGGUGGGUAGUCUGUGUAAUCAAUAGAACAUUGCAGAACAAGGAUGUGGAAUGUCUGAAACUAGGUUUAAGAGACAUUGUGGCUUCUCUCUUGGAUCAGUUCUCCAGGGGGAGCCAGCGCCAUGCUGUAAGAGAGGACCCCAUGGCUAUCCGGGAAGUGGAUCUUCUAGCCCCAGUCAAGCCUUUGCUGACUGCAGCCCUGGCUGACAUCUUCACUGCAAACUCCUGAGACAGCUUGAUCCAGAAGCAUCCAGCUAAGCUGCCCAAAUUCCUCACCAACACAAACUGUGAGACAAUAAAAGCUUGUUGUUUAAACACACCCUCAAUAACCAUAGGUCCCACCUCAAAGGUUCCACCACCUUCCAAAAGUGCCAGCCUGGGAUGGCAUGGGUGGCUCAGACAGCCAGAAAGUGCUUACUUAACAUGCCUGUCUGUCGUGUUCAUGAAGCUGUUAGCUUGGGUAGUAACAGGUCCGUAGUAUUACCCUUGCUUCCAGACAGAAAAAUGUCCCACUUAAGGCAAAUAUUAGACAUCCCAUGCUCCAUGACCCCUGUUCUAAAUUCUGGGUUGUUUGCUCUCCCUUGAGAAAUUUCUGACCACUUAAUACUCACCUUUAAUACCCAUCUUUUAAUUAGAAUAUAGAUAUGAUUUGUCCAAAAUACUAGACAGUUAAAUCCAAUCUCUCCCAAUUAAAAAUCUUUUGAUAGCUCCCAGUCAACUGGAAUAUUCUCAAGUCAUGCCACGUCCUCUGUGAUCUGAACCCUCCUAGAAUCACUACCUCCCACCAGCCUCACCCAGCUACUGGAAGGUUUCUGGAGUCCUAAAGGCUCUUUUGCUAUAGGACAGUGUCUAUGUAAUGACUACCCUGAACCCAGGGUUGCCAAAAGUCUCUGCUUCUUUCUUUUCUUUGUUUGCUUCUGCAGGAUUUGGCUUUGAAUCAUCUCUUCUGGAAAGCCCUUGCCCACCCUGCUGACAAGGCCACUAGAAGGUAAGCUGUCGGUCACACUCCAGGCUGCAGUGCCAGGGCUGAGAUCACCCCUGUGCAAAUCAGGAUGUGUUGGUUGUUGACAGGCAGGGUCCAUUCUGAUCGGUCAGUUUCUUGUUCUGAUUGCUUGUUUCCCUGGUUGUUAAAAUCUCCCUUUCCAAAGGCCUUGAAAGAAGGCAUUCAUUAAAUAUUUGCAGAAUGAAUCAAUGAACAAAAUGCUCUGGGCUCCAAAGUUACAAAAUAAAUUGCUUUCAGAACCCCUAUGUCAGGGUUGGUGAUUAAGCCUACCCACCUCCCUCCCCCACAAUGGGUAUUGAACCCAGGGCCUCACUCAUGCUAAAUGCAUACUCUGCCACCAACUGAGCUACACCUCCAGCCCAAGGUCCUUCUCAUCACUGGUCUUACAUUGGGAACAUUCUGUGUGGCACAGCCCUGAGCUCUUAGUCCUUCAACCAAUUAAUAAUUUUCUUUGAACCACACCAUAUUGAAUAGUGAGGGCUUCAUCUCCUUCAGCUGACUAUGUCUUUCCAACCAGCAGUCUCUUCAUAGGCCUGCACCAGGAAAAGCAGAGAAUGCACCCGCCCUACAAAAAAAUGCCUCCCACAGUUCUUGGAUCCCUCAGAUAUCCUUGGAUCAGAGGGAGUGACACCAAGUCCUCAACCUUUGUAUUGCAAUUUCCCAACUCAUAUUACAGGUUAACUCCUAACUGAAUGAAUUGCAAAGUGCUCCAGUUACUUGAAAUUAUUUUACAUUUGAGUCCAUAUCCUUCUAUAAAUUGCUAGGAAGAAUUGUAUUCUAAAUCUAAUCCAAUCAUUGUCUUCAUGGGGGAAUGCUCAAUAAAACCUCAGUGACCCCAGAUCAAGACACUUUUUGUCAUCAUCUCUACGGUCAUCUUGACUCAGGGAAGAGCAUAAAAUCAUCAUUUGGGGGGUGGGCAGGCCAUCUGAGGAAUAAAGAGGAGUGACCCACACAAUCCACAGUCAGGCUUCUUUCUCUGGCCAUCAGGAUAUGCUGUGUUUUCCCUCCAGCCUUGCCUCGCCAAGGACACUCACUGUUAUAGGUCAAGCCCACCUGCUCCAGGAAAUGUGCCAUCCAGGGUGUGACAGGAGUGGGGGGUGAGGUGGGCUAUUCAUAUGCCCCCAUAUGAAUGAACAUUUUCUCAGCACAGUAAGAGAUUUACCAAAGACUUGUCCACUGGUUGAAAAAAACAAAGAAGUUAAAUUGAUAAUGGUUGAGAUCAAAACUACCUAAACUGUACCAAAUGCUGCCUGCUUGGUGGAUGAUGGCAAGGGAGUGGCACAUGCACUUUAGCCAUAUUUUCCCAUUCAUUUGACUAGUGUUUACUCAAUAGCUACUUAAUGUGCAAGCUCUGUGUGGGUGCAUGUCCCAGUGCAUAUCUCUCUCUCUCUCUCUCUCUCUCUCUCUCUCUCUCUCUCUCUCUCACACACACACACACACACACACAUACACACACACACACAUGCACAUUUUGCUUGGAAACAUCAGUAAAUGCAGCUUCACGGUACAGAAGUAGAAGUUCUCCAAGGAGGAGCAAGGGAAUCUAAUUCUGCCCAGCUUUUCAUGGGAAGCAAAGAUAAGCCUGAAAUAUGUGGUUUCCCUGAAGCCUACAUUUUCUGGGUCCAGCAGGGGAAAGGGAUCUGGUAUCAGGCCUUUGGAGACAACUCAAGGGACAGGUUCCUGGACUUCCCUCUAGAUGCUCCCUGCUACCACCUGUGCUGUCUGUCGACUGAUCACAGGAGAGCAAGGACAGCAGGCACAUCCUGUUGGCAGCUGGGAUCCAGCCUGGGGGCUUCUGGCCACAACCCCGUUGCAAGAAGUCCUUUCCUCUCAGCUGGCUCCCCCAGCAGCUGUCUGGAAAAAGCAGCCCAGGAAAGCAGAGGGGUGGGUGAUUGAUGGGGCUGUGUGUCUUUCUCUUAUUCCUGUGAAUUUUUCAAUGGGAAAAAAGAGGCUUAUCUCUCAUUUUUAAUUGAUUUUAAUGCGGCUCAGCCAGACUAGAUCAAAUCUCAGCUCCUCUGUGGCCUGGGAUGAAUGGUGUGGGGAGCUGCCUGAAUGCUAAUAAGAGGGGUUGGGAGAGGCCAGAGGAGGCAAGGAGGCCAUUGUUUGCCUGGGAGACUUUCUCAGCUUGAUCUUGGGCUGGCCUGCUGGGAUGGACCCAUCCACAAACUUCAGGGGGUGGGGGGAGCAGUGUAUGGCUAUGGGAUGGGAGUAGUUGGCUUCUAGCCUUGGGUUGGUACACAGGGACCUAAAUGUAUUCUUGGGCCUCCAUCUACUGCCAGGUUUUGGACUUGCAUUAGUCAGCUUCAUAUUACUAUAAUGAUAUACACGAGUCAACUAACUUAUAAAGAAAAAAGGCUUACACUGGCUCAUUGUUCUGGAGGUUCCAGACCAAGAUUAGGCAGUUCCAUUCUUUGGUCCUCUGGCAGAAGUGCCACAUCAUGGCAGGAGCAUAUGGUGGAACAAGUUGCUACAUCAUGAACCAUGAGUCUUAGCAAAGAGAUAAGACUCAAUUUCACAUCCCCUUCAAAAGCACACCUCCAAUGACCAUACCUCCCUCCCUCAAAGUCUCACCAUCCCCAAGAAUGCCACCCUAGUGACAAAGCCUUUAAAACAGGGGCCUCUGGGGGUCACUCAUCCAAACCAUAGCAGGACUCCAGCCAGCAGCCUCUCAAACGCUCACCGCCCUCCUCCUCUGUCCCCCUUUCCCUGUGCUUGCACUCCUCUAGUCAGCCAUCGGUGCCUUUGUGGUUGUCUCUGUGGCACUGCCAGCCACCUCUGACAACCAGGGUGCUCCUCUCAGGUCCUGUCUCAUCUCUCCUCACCACCUCCUUGGCCCAAAGCCUUGCUGGACUCUGCUUUUGAAUGGCCAAACUCCACUGGUUCUCAGCCCUCUCCUCUCAAAUGGGGAAAUGGCAUCGCCCACUGGCAUCACUUGGAAGAGUCAGAAAAGGCAAAGCAAGUGGCACAGAGAGCACAUGCUUAGAGCAGGGGCUAUUCAGGUGUGGCUUCUUCCCAACCAGCAAACCACUGGGAACAGCAGCCAGUACAGUGUCCCUCAAGGGUGGGUGUCGGUUCCUGCUGUAACCCCACGAUGAGAUAGUGAAUUUACAAAUGCCCCCAUUGUUGCCGAAACCUUGGUCCUUGUCCCUGAUGCCAAUUCAUUAAUGAGGACAAAGUUUUGAGAAAAUGGAAAAGGAAAAAGAAGGUUUAGUGCUUUGCUAACAAAGGAGAAACACAGGGGACUCCUGUCCCAAAGGCUGUGAUUCUGCCCAUCAGCAGGAACAGAGGGUGACUCAAAGGCUACAUUCCACGAGUUCUCUGGAGUUGUAAUUUACUUGUUAAUUUAGGAGAUAGUCAUUUCUGAGGUCUUCUGAUACCAUCCCCAAAGUCUGGAUCACUUUGUUCCUAUAGUGGGUGUGUGCUCAGACAGAUAACUCUGCACUAAGAGGGGAAAGAAAGGUCAUCUUGUCUUCCCUGAGAUUAAGGAGAGGGAGGAGCAGGGAGAGAGGAAGAGAAAGAAUGUCCAUUUUAAAAAUAAGUUGAAUGGCUGAGCAGCAAGGGUUAUAUUCAAAGCAUAACGUGGACCUCUGUUACACCAUCCCAUUCUCUUAUCUGGAAAGGGACAACAGUUACCACAGAGGAGUGGUUUUCAGGCUUAGCUCCUAGAACAGAAACACCCAAAGUAGGUUAUAAAGACUGGAACCAGGGUUAUGUCUCAGAGUAUGGCCGAAUUGCUCUAGGAUCAGUUGAGCAUUGAUAGAUGUUGGAAUGUUGUAGAAGUCAAUGAGUUUAAGACAGGAUGGGGAAGAAGGCUUAUCUUACAAAGCAGAGCCCCUUAUCAGCCCCUCUAUGGGCCUCUCCCUAUGGUCACAGUCAUUCCAAUUCAAAUUCAGUGCUCCUAAAUGCAAUAGAACACCCCAGGGUCCCCAUAAACCUCAGCUGGAGGAGAAACAUCUAGCUCUCCAUAUUUCUUCUCCCUGUCUUUCAAUGAGAAGAGUUGGUUCAUUCCCACGUUAAAUACAAGCUCAUCAUUUUCUGGCAUAGACACAGACUAUCCAAGGGCUGCUUUCCCAAUAUGUAUAAACUCUGAAACACUCUUUUCCCCAGAUACCAAAACCCCUAAUCCUCACACAUACAAACAAAAGAGGUCAAAGCCAGAUUCACUGAAACACAAAUAUCUAGAAACACGUUAUUGAGAAUUGUGAAUGGCCCGAGAUUCUCCCCUAUGCACAAGCCAGCAAAUUCCCUGACUUGGUUUAAAGGACACUGGUAAAGGACAUGAGAUUCCUGGGUCAGAGAUGAAGGACAGUUUAGUAUUCACAGCAAUAACAGUAAUGAGAAUUUUAGUGCCAGAUCUCCGAGCACUAAUUUCCACAGGGUGAUGUCCAAAAGAUCAGGUGAUACCUCAGUUAUCCUGUAGGGGAAAAACUCUGAGCUUAGGACACCUAUGUUUAUAAUAAGCUGGAAACAUGCCCACUUUUCACUCAGGAGCAAGACACUGAUGGUAUUUACCGAGACUGUUCAUUAUACAACAUCCCUGAAAAGAUAGUCCAGAAAAAAGUACAGUAAGCACCUCACUUUGCAAGAUGUGCAGAAAUUCAAGAGAUCUAUGGACAACUGUCUGCUAACACUUGGGUUCACAGUCAUGCAUCCCAACAGUCUGACACACUCCCCCAGCUUGCCCUCAUAUAGCAUGUGAGCACAUCUCUGCACGGAAACAUGUAUAUUGACUCACAGGGGUCACUGUCCAACAAACAUACCCAAUGCUUAGAAAGUGCUUGGAAAGGGGUUGGGAUGGUCCUUACCCUCCCUGCCUGAGCUGAUUAUACCUAGCUUGAGUCUUCACCUCCAUCCAUGCUCCACACACCUUACACACCUUGCCCUUUGAGUUCAACUCUCUCCACUUAUAACCCACUGAGUUUAGGACAAAUCUCCACAAAUUUCUGACCUGGCUCUGCACCCUGGAGUCCUCAUUCCCCUUCUCCUAGCCCAGCACCACAUUCUUCUUCUUUUUUUUUUUUAAUAUUUGUUUUUUAGUUGUAGUUGGACACAAUACCUUUAUUUUAUUUAUUUUUAUAUUGUGCUGAGGUUCAAACCCAGGGCCUUGCAUGUGCUGGGCAAGUGCUCUACCGCUGAGCCACAACCCCAGCCCCCAGCACCACAUUCUUGACCUGUGCAGAAGCCUGGCACUUUACUUUCUGGGGUAUCCACCCACCCUCUACUCACAUGGGUCCCCUGUCUUAGCCUGAGAUACAUCCAGUACCAAUCACAGGCCUGAGGAGCUAACUGUUCUCUACACAGUGUUCCCUCCUAGUUUGUGCCUACAGAGUCCUUUGUCUCUCUGAGCUGUGAUACAAUAGUCAUCCAAGGUUUUCUGGACUUUCUUCCCGUCCUAGGCUGGGAGCUGCUGGGAAACAGGCCUUUUGUUUGACUUGUUUUGUAUCAGCUGGGUGAGCCUCGGGCCAGGGCAGGGGGCCAAGGCUUAAAAUGGGAGAUGGUUGCUGUUACACCAAUUAUAGGCCUGCAAGUAGAACAGGUUGUCUGACUUGUGGGGCCCAGUACAGAAUAAAACUGUAGGGUUCCCUUGUUUCAAAAUUGAGAAUCACAAGGCAAUGGAAGAUGUAGCCCUUCUAACUGGGAGGCCCAAAGGGAUGCAUGAAGCCAGCCCUGACCACAGGAGCUGCCUCGUGGACUGGCAGUAACAUCAGGCACCUUCAUAUGUCCUGUGGACCCUGUGAAGGCAAAGGGCCUCAGAGGGGCGCAACCUGCCCAAGGGAGUCUUCUGGAAGCCUUGGGUACCUGUGGUGAUCUCCUUACCUCCCUACUCCCCUUCUGCCUUCCUCCCUCUCUCCCUCCAUCCCUCCUUUCUCCUCUCUCUCACUCUCCCUCCCUCCUUCUGGGUGGAGGAGGAGCCUAACAUUGACAUUAUCUAGUUCUUACUAUUCAGUUAUGAAAAUUCUUUGGGCACCUACUAUGAGUGUCGACCUUGCAUGACCCAUUGGAGUCAUGCCAUGGGUCCCCUGCUCCUGAGGAAGUUCCAUACACACCCACACAAGAGAAGAAUGGAACCCCAAUUCUCUCCUCUUUGCCACUCCCCAUCUGCAUAAUUCCUGUCCACUCAUCCAAGCCCUUCCCCUUCCCUCAAUUCUUCCCCUGUAGGGCUUUAAAAUCUGUCACGAUGACGUGUUAAUGGUCAAAUGACUGUAGGCAGAUGCACAAGAAAGAUGCAAAGAGGAGACAAUGAUAUCCAGUCCAAAGUAAGUCCCUUGAUUAUACCCAGGCCUGCCACCCAGAGGGAACUAAUUUAGCGACUUCUAUUUACAGAGCUGGUGGUUAGAAUGAUAGUUCUAGAAGCGCCUAGACCUUUAUUUCAUGGUUUGUUAGCUCUGAACAGUUUCUAUUCACUUCCUGCCAUGACAAGUGAUUGAGUGUACAUCUUUUGCUCAGAGCUCAGUGUGUUCCAUUCGCGUCACACAGUGUCCCCUCACUGCCUGCUCCGCAAGAGGAAAACGGUUUCUGCCUCUGCUGCUCCUCAAUCUGAGUCUUAUGUUCUGACUUGUUUCACGGGACCAGGUGCUUUAAGUUGAUCGAGUGCAUUAGCAAACAUAUUUUACUUUAUCGGCUUCUUUUACAUCAUCGAGGCUACAGCGUUUGCAAGCCGGACUUCUGGGCUUUGUCUUUGGUUGAUGUCAAGAUAGCCUUCAUAGCACAGUGGUUACAUAAGCUUUGUCCAGGGGAGGCCCACAGGGAAGGAACUGUGUUUCUGAGUCACUAAACCAAAGCUGCAGGAAAAGAAAGACAUGAACUUAGGGGUUAGAGAGAUUCUCUCACUGCAGCCAAGGGACAAAAAAGCAUAAUAAUUUAAAGAUCUUAAUUGGCUUUAUUUUCAAUUCUAGAAUCUCCUGACACUUCAUUGCAUCAAGUAGAAUGAGUUUCAAUAGGUUGAGCAGAGGAGGCUGGUUUUGUUGUCAGGAGUACCAGAGAAAAGCACCGGGAAGAACAAAGAGGUGAUUGCAAAGUCCCUUCCUGGUGAGGCUGGAACAGCGACAGAACACAAGGAAAAUAACCAAAGAGCGAACAUCAGGUUAUUUUAGGUUCCUUCUUUUGUGAGUGUGUAAGGAUUAAAGCAGAGGGAACUUCAUUAUCAUGCCAACAAAAUUGACCUAUUUGGGGAAAAUUGGCUGUUAUCUCUCUAAUCCUGAUUUCAGGAGGUCAGAUAAACAGCUUAGUUUCAGGCUGUUGAUGGGGAACCUUAGCAUGAAUGACUCCAUUUUGCUUUUAGUCUGGGCUUUGGGCCCCUGUCAUUUUCAUUUAACCCUGCACGUGCCCACGGCUGCACAGACCCAUCGGUUGCUGUGUUUGGUUGGCCUCGUAUAUUCCAGCAAUGGCCUGUCCAGUUCAUUUAUUUUCCCAAGCUGCCUCUUAUUCUGCCCUCCCCCCUCCCCAUUUCAAGAAGGAGCACACUCUUCUUUUCUACAUUCUUAUAAUCGCUGGAUUUUAAUAUUGUUUGAAGGGAUCUAAAUUGGCUUUCUAAGUUCCUAUGUAGCCCCUGCUGGGAUUUCCUUCAGGACCCCCCUGGGUGAAUUCCUCUGUUUCUUCUACCCCAUAACCUCCUCUUCUUGAGAUUCCUUCAUCUCUCUCUCUCUCUCUCUCUUUUUUUUUUUUUUGGUUCAGGGAACUGAACCCAGGGGCACUUAACCGCUGAGCCACAUCCAGGGCCCCUAUUUGUAUUUUAUUAGAGACAAGGUCUCUGAGUUGCUUAGGGCCUCACUAAAUUGCUGCUAUGGCUGGCUUUGAACUCAUGAUCCUCCUAUCUCAGUCUCUGGAGCUGCUGGGAUUACAGGUGUGCUCCACCAUGCCUGGCUGAGAUUCCUUUUUUAUUUUGCAAGUAGUAUAUCCUCAAAUGAUCUCUAUCUGAAAGGGCAUUUACUUGACAGUUGGUGUAGUCCUAGGAUUAGAAGCUCAAGAUCAUUGUCCCUCUGAACCCUCUGGCCUCUGGCAUCAGAUAUUGGAUUCCCAUUCCUUGCACAUUGCCCAUUUGUACUAUCUAGAAGCCAAGAUCUUAUGAUUAGAUGCUUGAAAUAUGGCAAGAAUUUUUCAGGUUCCUCUUUAAACAAAGACCCACAUCUUACAGUGGGGCUCAUUUUGUGUUCUUGGUUUUCUCUUUCUGGAAUUCUGAAUGAUAAGGGCUGAGUCCCCUGGCCUGAUCCUUUAUGAAGGAACUGUGCUAAUGAUACCUCCGGGGCCACUUUUAUUUUUUUAUUUUAUUUAUUUAUUUAUUUUUAAAUUUUUUAUUGUUGGUUGUUCAAAACAUUACAAAUUUCUUGAUAUAUCAUAUUUCACACUUUGAUUCAAGUGGGUUAUGAACUCCCAUUUUUACCCCAUAUACAGAUUGCAGAAUCACAUCAGUUACACAUCCAUUGAUUUACAUAUUGCCAUACUAGUGUCUGUUGUGUUCUGCUGCCUUUCCUAUCCUCUACUAUCCCCCCUCCCCUCCCCUCCCCUCCCCUCUUCUCUCUCUACCCCCUCUACUGACAUUCAUUUCUCCCCCUUGUAUGAUUUUUCCCUUUCCCCUCACUUCCUCUUGUAUGUACUUUUGUAUAACCCUGAGGGUCUCCUUCCAUUUCCAUGCAAUUUCCCUUCUCUCUCCCUUUCCCUCCCACCUCUCAUCCCUAUUUAAUGUUAAUCUUCUUCUCCUGCUCUUCCUCCCUACUCUGUUCUUAGUUACUCUCCUUAUAUCAAAGAAGACAUUUGGCAUUUGUUUUUUAGGGAUUGGCUAGCUUCACUUAGCAUAAUCUGCUUUAAUGCCAUCCAUUUCCCUGCAAAUUCUAUGAUUUUGUCAUUUUUUAAUGCAGAGUAAUACUCCAUUGUGUAUAAAUGUCCGGGGCCACUUUUAGGUUGUGAUUUCCUUCUCUGUUCAACUAUCAGUUCAGUAUACAGUAUCCCCAUGCUUAUCCACAAGGGGAUACAUCCCAAGACCUUCAGAUGCCUGAAACCACAGGUAGUUCCAGCCUCUAUGUAUACAUACCUGUGAUUAGGUCUAAUUUAUAAAUUAAAUUAGGGAUAACAACAAUAAUUAAUAAUCAAGUAGAUUACUAUAACAUUACACAGUUGUAAAAGUUACUUAGAACUUAGGAAUUGCUUAUCUGUAGAGUCUUUCAUUUAAUAUUUUCAGACUGUGUUGCCACGAGUAACUAAAACCUUGGAAAGCAAAUCAGAUAAGGGGCUAUUCUGGUCUUCCUCCCAUUUUCCAGAAAGUCAACAAUUUGACCCCGGAAGCUCUUUGUCAUGUUGACAGGAAUUUCCGUGUGGAUUCCUAAGGGCAUCUCAGUGGGAUGGGGAAGCUGUGCUUCUACCACCUUCUGGAACAGAAAACUCCCCUCUGGAAGAUUCUGGGUCCUUCUUGGAAAGAAGGAGGGUGCCACACUGGUUUUCAGGUGCCUAAGAGGGCAUAACUUCCUGUAACAGAAGCAGAGCCUUGGUAUAGUCUGCCUGGCUCAGGGGCGCAGAUCACUGCUGGGCCCAGAUCAAGGCUGAUGGCCUCCACAGAGGGUGUCCACAGAAGGGGUGGGGAGAGCAGUGUUUAGGAAGCAAGAGGAGAGCCCCCUGCUCAAGUGGGCUGGCAGAGCCUGGAGGAGGGAAAGUGGGCCCCAGCCUCUGUGGGAAGUUGGGCCUGACCCCAGGCUCUGCAGGGCAGAGGCCACAGGCAGCUAGGUGCCGCCCACAGAGCACCUCCCUCUCCCUUCAGUCUUAAGAUGGAUGGCUUUGACAUAUGGGAGCCCCUGGAAGGAGAAGAGGUGGGUGGGAAAUGGUUGUGAAGGACUUUGGGCAGUGAGGGCUGAGGAAAGUCAGGGGAAGAUCAUGGUGGACAUUGCCAAAUGGAAGACAGGGCCGCUCACAAUAGCCCACCAGGUCCCCAGGGGCUGAACCAUGAGUGGCCCCUCUUCCCUCCUCUUUGGCUCCCUGUGCCUGAGUUUUCUGAUUUCCCUUCCACUUGCACCAUCUCUUAUCGAGCUUCUUGGGGGUCAGUGGGGCACCGUCUGUCGGUCUCAGCUCCCUAGAGGAAGCCAACAGCAGAGAUUCCCCUGCCACCAAGUGUCCCUUUUCAGAAGUACUCAGGGAGGGGAUGUGUGGGGCACUGAGUGGCAUGAAGAGGGGUUAUGAUGAGCUCUGAAUCCUGCCUGUAAGGAGGGGGCAAACCGACGGGGAUGGAGAAGACACAGGGACAGCUUCAGAAGCGCACGGCUUGGGACCUGGUUCUCCUAUAGUGACAGAUAAACUCCUUAUGACCUCCAGAGACAGGCUCAGCCUUCCAGGCUUUGAGGGAAGGGAGGGACUGCUCUGCUGGGGAGCCCACUGGCCAUUUUAGAAAUUGGAACUUAGGCCCACAGUGCGGAGGGGUCAGGCUUCUCACUCCAGGAAUCUGCGUGAGUAGCAGCUGGGGAGGGGGUCAUAUCGAAGUGGUGGGUCUGAAGAUAAACUGGGACAGGCAGAGUGUGUGGAGCGUUGCUCAGAUGGGCAGGUCUGCAGAAUGCCUGAGGCUGCCUGUUAAGGUUGGCUGCCUCCCCACCAGCAGGACAGAGCAGGCUGGACAGUUGCCGUGUCCUGCGUCUUGGCCCUGGGGCUGCUCUAGUCAACUUCUUUGUCCAAGUAGGGAGGGGGCCAGAAAGGGCGGCUGGACUCCUCCAUCCACAGGACACUCCUAUGGCCCCCAGAACAGUCCUGUUCACUGCAGGGCCUCUUGGAAGCCUACUGCCUUAGGACUCAAACUACUCCUCCAGGUAGGCUGGAGUUUGGUCCCUGAGUCCCCCACCAGCCCCAUGAGGCCUGGGCUGAGCCACUGUCCCUGCAUCUGUCACUCCUAAGUGCUCAGGGUAGGACUGGACCCUGCUUGGGGUGUUUCCCAGGGCUUGUGGGGCAUGUGGAUGAAUAAAUAAAUGGACAACACUGUCCCCAGGUCCCCUGCCCCCAGGCCCUGCCCAGGCCUGGUGCUGCCCUUCUCCCAGCCUUUCUCUCCUGCCCAGGAAGGCUGGUGCAGCCUCCCUUGCCCCAGAGUUGAACGCCAUGGCUGUUUCAAGCCUGUGAAUGGGUUCCUGAGGUUACAGGGAGUGUUGGAGGUUGUCUGAAGGAAAGAGAGGGGACUGACCCUGAGUCUUAGAGUCCUCGGGGGUGGGUUUAAGUCUGCUCGCACUGGGAGCAGCUGCCCAGGACACUACACUAUCUUUCAUCUGGCAACCUGGCAAGUACAGCCAGGGCUGGAAGAAGCCACAGACCCAUGGAUGUUUGACAGCUUUUGUACUUUGGCACAGCCAGGCUGACUCUUAGGGACGCUUCUGUAAACCCUGAGCAUAGGCCAGGAAAAGAAAUAGGAAUGUGGUUCCUAUAGCAGCCAAGUGUCCCAGUGCUUGGGGCCAGGCCAGGGCCUGGUGGUGGGCAGGAGGCAGGACCUGGAGCCAUCCUCCCUACCUUGUCCCAGCCCACCGGCUGACCACCCCAACUAAGGGCCAUAUUGGCAGGGGUGGUGGGAUGAAGUUGGGGUGUCCACCAGAUAGCUGUGGUGCAGUCCCCGAGGGGGUGAGGAAGCAGCUCCCAGCCUGCUCCAGGGUGGCCUUCCCAUCCUGCUGCUAAGAGCUGGCCUCAGAGAGCUCUGUUCUGCAGCCAUAGCAAGAAUGGCGUUUUGGUGCCUUUCAAAGGCCUUGCCUGUGUUAAACAGUGAGGCAGACAGGAAAGAAAUUGUAAUGUACACAGACCCCUUCAUUUGAUGGAGGAGACUAAGGCCCUGAGAGGGGAAGGGACUCACCCAAGGUCACACAGCAGAGAAUGCUGGAUUCAGAACCAGAGUUAGACUCGGCCCUUCCCCUUCCCCCCGCACCUCCUGCAGGGCCCAUGGUGGAGCUGCUCCUGGAAGGUAGAACAGGAUGCCGUGCUGUCUGUUGACUUUGACACUUCCCUGGGGACUGUGGCCCAGAGCAGCUGUAGAGGUAAGUGGUGUGAAGUGGUGACGAGGAGAGAAGGUAGAGGCUGGAGCCAGGGCUGGGCCCGUGCUGUGGGAUCGGGAGUAAGUCAGGGCUCGGGGGCUCUUCUGUCCCCACAAGGAUAGGUUGUGUUUGGGCCCAGAGGACAGCCGUGAACUCAGACAGAGCAGCCAGCACAGCCCACUCCUGCCCCCGCUCCAGAUCUCUCCAGGGCUGGGCCUGAGCUGCCUCCUCUGGGCCACCUCCCUGAACUUGCCCCACCUCGCCACUCCUCUGUGCUUCUGCCCAGCAGUCCCUCGUCCUUUGUCCUCAGUCACAUCUCCAGGUCCUGCCAAGUGCCCACUCCCCUAGGAGACUCCCAGCCUGCUCCAGGGUGGCCUUCCCAUACUACUGCUCAGAGCUGGCCACAGGGAGCUCGGUUCCAAUGCACUCGGAGCCCUGAGGGCAGGUACUGUGCCUGGCUCUUCUCUGUCCCUAGCACCUGUCUCAGGGCCCACAGAGAGCAGGUGCAGAUACACAGUUGCAGAAUGAAUGGGAGGAUGGACAACUGAGGCAUAAAUAAAG
rnacentral:lncRNA from 1 species